UUUAAUCAACCAAGGUCCCAAACAACCAUUAACACCCUCUGUUCGUCGAAGUUCUUGCGCAAUUUGAAGGUACACCCUCUGUUACUUUAUCACCAAAGGUACACUCUCUGACUCUCCCUAAAAAUACUGCCCAUUGACGAAAAAAAUAGAGCCAAAUAAGAGCAUCAGGAGUUAUUUCUUGUAAUCAUUGUCCCUUCCAUCAAGCUUUCUCUCUCUUUUCUCCCUUCUCCAAUCGAGCUCGGUUUUCACUCUCUUCUUCGAUUGCCUUUUUUUCAAAUUUGAAUUUAGGUUUCUUUGGAUCUGGGUUGUUGGAGUUUAAGUUUUGAUUUCGAAUUAUUUUAAAUUUAGAUUUGGAUUGAAAUUAAUUUUGAGAAAUUGAAUUUUUUGUAAUUAAUUUUGGAUUUGAAAAUUUAGAGAAAGAAACUGGUUAGUACUUACAAUGAGAGGAACAAAGCUUUUCAUUAUUUUGGUGUUGUUUUUGCUCACAGAUUUGGUAAGGACGGCGUUUGGAGCCAAGUCACCUACAAUCAUCUGGCUAUUGUCAUCAACGGCAAACAAAGAGUUGUGGUUUCUGGUUCUAUUCAUUUUCCAACAGCCCAGAUCUGAUGAUGGUUUCAUGCACACAGAGUUUUUUGUUGGGCGAAGUUGGUCCGCAUACUCGGGACGAAGAUCAAAUCCAUGGCAAUUAGCAUCAAUUUCAUGGAGCAUGGUUUACUUUCUGCCGAAAAUUCCAUUGAUUGAAGAUAGAUCAGAUGAAUGAAGAGAGAGAGGAAGUUUAUGGGUUUUGUGAAAUUUAAGUAUAAUUUUUAAUUUAUUUGUGUAAGUUUUUAAACUUAUUUAAGUGUAAUUUUUAAAUGUACAAAUUAAUUAAAAAUAUUUUUUUUUAA
rnacentral:lncRNA from 1 species